AACGUAGGGGACAAGCGUUAUCCGGAUUUACUGGGCGUAAAGCGCCCGUAGGCGGCCUGACAAGUUGGACGUGAAAGCUCCUGGCCUAACUGGGAGAGGCCGUUCAAAACUGUCAAGCUAGAGUCUGGAAGAGGAGAGCGGAAUUCCCGGUGUAGUGGUGGAAUGCGUAGAGAUCGGGAGGAACACCAGUGGCGAAAGCGGCUCUCUGGUCCAAAACUGACGCUGAGGGGCGAAAGCGUGGGGAGCAAACAGG
rnacentral:rRNA from 1 species